rnacentral:rRNA from 1 species
CUAGAGAUAGGACGUUCCCCUUCGGGGGACAGAGUGACAGGUGGUGCAUGGUUGUCGUCAGCUCGUGUCGUGAGAUGUUGGGUUAAGUCCCGCAACGAGCGCAACCCUUGUCCUUAGUUGCCAGCAUUCAGUUGGGCACUCUAAGGAGACUGCCGGUGACAAACCGGAGGAAGGUGGGGAUGACGUCAAAUCAUCAUGCCCCUUAUGACCUGGGCUACACACGUGCUACAAUGGAUGGUACAAAGGGCUGCAAAACCGCGAGGUUGAGCCAAUCCCAUAAAACCAUUCUCAGUUCGGAUUGUAGGCUGCAACUCGCCUACAUGAAGCUGGAAUCGCUAGUAAUCGCGGAUCAGCAUGCCGCGGUGAAUACGUUCCCGGG